UGGAAUUGCUAGUAAUGGCAGGUCAGCAUACUGCCGUGAAUACGUUCCCGGGCCUUGUACACACCGCCCGUCACACCAUGAGAGUUGGGAAUACCCGAAGCCUGUGAGCUAACUUAUAGAGGCAGCAGUCGAAGGUAGAAUCAAUGAUUGGGGUGAAGUCGUAACAAGGUAUC
rnacentral:rRNA from 1 species